rnacentral:rRNA from 1 species
UACGAAGGGGGCUAGCGUUGCUCGGAAUCACUGGGCGUAAAGCGCACGUAGGCGGCUUCUUAAGUCAGGGGUGAAAUCCUGGAGCUCAACUCCAGAACUGCCUUUGAUACUGGGAGCUCGAGUCCGGGAGAGGUGAGUGGAACUCCGAGUGUAGAGGUGAAAUUCGUAGAUAUUCGGAAGAACACCAGUGGCGAAGGCGGCUCACUGGCCCGGUACUGACGCUGAGGUGCGAAAGCGUGGG